AUGACAUUCGAAGGUGCGAUGAAAUUAGGAUUGGCCGUUGCAGGAAGUUCAUUUGCCGUCGCGUAUCUGAAAGACAAGGGAUACGUUCCAAAAGUUAUAAAUAAAUAAAUGACAAGUCAAUUAAUCGUCGGUGGAUUGUUUAAUGCCGUUGCAUUUGCAGGCGCAGGAUUUUUAUUUUCCAUUUGAAUCAGAACGGAUACAAAGAAGAAGUGAAAAGACAUAAUCAUGCGUUGGAAGAAUUAGCCGAAGCGAAAGAAAAAUUCUACGAAUCCGAAGUCAAAAGACACGAUCAAGAAUUACGACGACGUCAAGAAAUUUUAGACGCGAAUCACGAUAUCGAAGAGACGAACAAAGCGUUGGACGAACUAAAAAAUUAUACGCGAAAAAUGGAUUUGUCGGCCUUGGGUCGACCGUUAUUAUCGACCGUCGGACGAGA